UACGUAGGGGGCAAGCGUUGUCCGGAAUCAUUGGGCGUAAAGCGCGUGUAGGCGGCCAGGUAAGUCCGUUCUGAAAGCCCGGGGCUCAACCCCGGGAGGCGGAUGGAUACUGCUUGGCUCGAGUCCGGAAGAGGUGAGUGGAAUUCCUGGUGUAGCGGUGAAAUGCGCAGAUAUCAGGAAGAACACCCGUGGCGAAAGCGGCUCUCUGGAACGGUACUGACGCUGAGACGCGAAAGCGUGGGGAGCGAACAGG
rnacentral:rRNA from 1 species